CGGAGCCUUCAUUUGGCGCGUCAAAGUAAGACAACUUGGAUCCGUUCAUAAGCCCUCAACUGCGCAAGACAACUUCCCUCUCACUUCUCUCCACAUCGCCGCCGCAAUUGGAAAUGAACGCCACCAAUAACGGUUCCAAAAUGCCAACGUACUUAUGCAACUGGAUUCCGGCGACUUUUCCCCCCUCACGUUAAAACAAAGAAAAGGAGGAAAUCGCAGAAACUAUGAAGAAGCUGCAUAUUGAAGGAUCCUCUUCUGGGAAUGGAUCGCCUAGCUUCAGAAAGAAACCGCUUAUCAUAAUAGUUGUAGGAAUGGCAGGGAGCGGGUAAACAACACUCCUCGAUAGAUUGGUUUGUCAUACUCAUUUGAAAAACAUUCGAGGUUAUGUGGUGAAUUUUUAUUUUAUAUGUUCUAAUUUUUUUUUUGUAAUAAUAUUAUUAUAUAUUUAAAUAGUUUGAUUUUAAUAAUUUUUUAAGUAUAUUUUGUUUUUUUAUCUUAAAUUUUUGAAUUUUUAUAUUAUAAUAAUUUUUUAUUUUUAUUAUCUAUUAAUUUUUUUAUUUUUUAAUGUUUUAUAGUAUUAUUAAAGUAUCUAAGCAAUUCUUGUGUCACAUCACUGCAUAAAGUGGGUCAGAGCUAAUGUGGCAGUGAUGUGGCACAUGGAUUAAUUAACUACACCAAAAAGUAACUACACCUAAUUCGAAUGUCUCUCCUUACGAGGAAUGAAUUAAGAGGAAAAGAAACCUGAGACUAUGAGGUAUAAAUAAGAGUUGAUAUACUCUUGGUAUAAAAUUUUUUUAAUGUAAAUUUUUAAAUUAUUUUAUUUUAUUAAAUAAGUAAUUGACAUGAUAUAUUAACAUGUGAUUAAUUCUAUAAAUAAUGUAACAAUAUAUUUUUGUAUGAUUUUUUUUUUAUAAUAUUAAUAAAAAAUUAUUUUUU